rnacentral:rRNA from 1 species
UACGUAGGGUGCAAGCGUUGUCCGGAAUUAUUGGGCGUAAAGAGCUCGUGGGUGGCCUGUCGCGUCGGCUGUGAAAACUCGGGGCUCAACUCCGAGCUUGCAGUCGAUACGGGCAGGCUAGAGUUCGGCAGGGGAGACUGGAAUUCCUGGUGUAGCGGUGAAAUGCGCAGAUAUCAGGAGGAACACCGGUGGCGAAGGCGGGUCUCUGGGCCGAUACUGACACUGAGGAGCGAAAGCGUGGGGAGCGAACAGG